CUGGGUCAUACCAACCCGCCCUCUGUCAUUUGGCUGGCUGCUUCGGCGGUCUAUCAAACUUCGGUCGUGGUGUUCUGCCACGGCCGGCAUUAACUCUGUCAUUCUUGAUGUCUGAGAAGAAUCUGAAUAAA
rnacentral:misc_RNA from 1 species